UACACAUGCAGUCGUACGAGAACAUGUCCUUCGGGAUGUGGAGUAAAGUGGCGCACGGGUGAGUAACACGUGGGUAACCUGCCUUGGGGAUCGGGAUAACUGGCCGAAAGGCCCGCUAAUACCGGAUAAGACCACAUGAGCUACGGCUCAAGGGGUCAAAGUCGGCCUCUCAACGAAGCCGGCACCACAAGAUGGGCCCGCGGACCAUUAGCUAGUUGGUAGGGUAAUGGCCUACCAAGGCUGAGAUGGUUAGCUGGUCUGAGAGGAUGAUCAGCCACACUGGAACUGAGAUACGGUCCAGACUCCUACGGGAGGCAGCAGUGAGGAAUAUUGCGCAAUGGAGGAAACUCUGACGCAGCAACGCCGCGUGGGUGAAGAAGGCUUUCGGGUUGUAAAGCCCUGUCAGGCGGGAAGAAACUUCCGCAGGUGAAUAGUCUGUGGAACUGACGGUACCGCCAAAGGAAGCACCGGCUAACUCCGUGCCAGCAGCCGCGGUAAGACGGAGGGUGCAAGCGUUGUUCGGAAUUACUGGGCGUAAAGCGCGUGUAGGCGGUCCGAUAAGUCGAGUGUGAAAGCCCGAGGCCCAACCUCGGAAGUGCAUUCGAAACUGUCGGGCUUGAGUACGGGAGAGGGAAGUGGAAUUCCUGGUGUAGAGGUGAAA
rnacentral:rRNA from 1 species